UAAGCUCUGGAAGUUGUUCAGCUUACAGCUUCCUGGUAGUUAUAGGAAGAGCCUGGUGGGAGUCUUACCCUACAUGUACACAGCUUAGUAUUUAGCCAAAACUCAAGGGAACACAUGCAAAUUGCUGAGGCUAUUAUCUGCAUAGCUGCCUCUUCUCCAGUACUCUAUCUGUGCCACAAAUUCCAGUUGCCUGAGUCUUCCGGACCUCUAACCUCUGACAUUUCAACUAAAUGAGACCUUCAGGCUCUGUUGGGGUUUCCCUUUCUCUGUGCUUGUCUGUAAAGAGCCUCCAGGCAGAAAGCCUGGGUGAUGAAAGGCUUCUUUGUGUGUCUCUCCUAUUUCUCCAGGUCUUGCAAGGUACCUCUGCUGUCCUUAACCUCCCGGGAUCUUCCGCCCACCCUGCCCAGGGCCUCUUCUGAUGGAGCAGACAGGGCGGCUUCACAGAGAUUGAAAUGACUCCACUUCAGCCUUCAGCUGCCUUUCACAGUGAGGAAGACAUUGCUGUAACACCCACCAGACUUUAGCAGGCCCCAGUGAUUGCAGCUUCAUUGAAAUUGAUGGUUUUCCUGAGGGGGCCAUGCAACCUAUUCCAAGACUCCAGAGUACAGAGGAACAGACUGCCCAUAGGAGGAGGACUCUGAGUGGCCUGGAUACAGUCAUCAAGGGGACUGUUCAGCUGCACCUUCAUCUUAAGCAACAUGUGUGCAUUGAUGGAGCUUACCUGGUGCCAAGAGAGUGGUGAAAGGCAUGGAAAUAAGGUUUCCAGUGGAAAGAAUCUCGUCGACCAGCUUGGGACACAUCCUACUCUAACUAAGGGGACAGGUUUUAAAAUUGAAACAUGGUUUCAGGAGGCUUACCCUAUGAAUAGUGUUGGGGGACCACUACCAGGAACAGGUGUCUGCUAUUGAGUGAUGCUGGGCUUCCCUGGUGGCGCAGUGGUAGAAGACCCACCUGCCAAUGCAGGAGACUCGAGUUCAAUCCCCUGGAGAAGGAAAUGGCACCCCACUGCUGUAUUCUUGCCUGGGAAAUCCCAUGGACAGAGCAGCCUGUCUCUGUCCAAGAGGGCUACAGUCCAAGGGUUGGCAAAGACUCGGACAUGACUUAGUGACUAAAUAACAACAACAUAGAGUGAUGCUAUGACCUUUCAUUGGAAGCAUGCUUCUGUAAGAGUUGAGCAUGAGCACACUAUUGUUGAAUGAACGGAUAACUAGGAAGCUUUAAGGCAACCUCGUUAGAGCCCGUACUCUUGUCCCUUUCCCAAACUCCUUCAGUCUCCCAGUUCUAUAAAAACCUGCAAAUGAAGGAAGCAGGAUACACAGUGGUUAUUAGCAUACGUCUGGGUUAAAUUGUCUUAUUUUGGAUCCUGUCCUGGAGGACUUGAGCAAGUGAUGGAACCUACCUGAGCUGCAGGUUUCUCACCUCUAGAAUGGGGAUCAUGAGGAUUAACUAAGAUAACAUGAGUAAAGUGCUCAGAACAAUGCACCUAAUUAUGUUGAAAAAGUGAAGGUGCAGUCGCUCAGUUGUGUCCAACUCUUUUCAAACCCAUGGACUGUAGCCAUGUGUCUCCUGCAUUGUAGGCAGUUUCUUUACUGCUAAACCAUUGGGGAAGCCCUGCAGAUUGGGUCAAAGGAAAGAGAAGCAGAAAGUGGAGUGGGUUCAGAUACCAAACUCAAAUACCAGGCUUCUCUGUCUAUGGGAUUCUGCAAGCAAGAAUACUGGAGUGGGUUGCCAUUCCCUUCUCCAGGAGAUCUUCCCAACCCAGGGAUUGAACCCAGGUCUCCCACAUUACAGGCAGAUUCUUUACCAUCUGAGCCACCAAGGAAGUCCAGUUAUGUUAAGAACAUAAGUUUUAAACAAAAAUUAACUGAUGGAGGGGGCUUCCUGGUGGCCCAGUGGCUAAGACUCUGUGUUCCUAAUACAAGGGGGCUCGGGGUCAAUCCCUGUUCUGGGAACUAGAUCCCACAUGCCACAACAAAGACCCGUUGCAGCCAAAUAAAUAAAUAAAAUAAUUUUUUAAAAGAAUUAGAAAAAGAAAGAAAAUUAACUGAUGGAGCUGAAGUUGACAGGAGCGGAUCCAAAUGUCUUUGAUAAACAGGGCAAAAGAAAGAUGAAUUGUCAGAUGGGCAAGUGGUCAGCUUGGUUCUCCAGAUAUCUCCAGGAACGUGGCCUUUGGAAUAAGAGGUUUGGGGAGAAAAAUAAGCCACGAAGAUCUUAUGGCGCCAACAGGGACUUUAGAGAUCACAGGUCAUAUGCGCCAGUCACACUCCCUUUUGUUCCUAGAGAUUUAAUAUCUACCAGCCUAUUAAAUGGUCAUGAUUUGGAGGAGAGAAGACAAGAAGAGGAAUUACUUUCAGCUGGCCCCGGUCUUUAAAUAACCCGGGGUACAGCAUCUUUCAAACACAAAGGAGACCAUGUGUAAAACAUUAGUUAAAUUCAGAUAUAAAUCUAGUCUUUGACCAGUCCAAAGCUAAUCAAUAUGCUUUUCUACUCUCUUUGAACUUUGCGUUUUCUGGCAACAACGAAAACCCCAAACCCCAUCCAAAACCAUCAUCCAGACAGCCCAACUCCUAUGCUCCCCUCUCUCGUGUCACAUAUUGUUGACAGAACUCCUCUCGUUACCACAUUCAUUCCAGUGGUGAUUCAAAUUCUUCUGCAGAAAUGGACUUGAAAGACAGAAAAUUGCUCUUGUAAUCACUUAAUAAGGAACCCUGGACAAGGAAUACAGGACUAUGAAUAUAGAUUUACUCUUAGCUUUUAUGGACGCAUUUCCCUCGGUUAUUUUCAUUGAAAAUCAUGAUGAACUAAUUUAAAUAGCAAGGUAAACUGAGAUGGAAAAUGAUCCAUAAUAAGAAUUUCGAUGGAAAAUAUAGAUUGGCCUGGUCUUCAGCACAUCAAGGAUUCUCUUGGUUUCAAUUGCAAAUUCGGAGAGAUUUGAAAUGUGUUUGUUUGAAUGUGUCAGUUUUAGGCAGAACUAAACUACGCUGUCCCUUUCCAAAAAUCAAGAAUCUGCCCUGGAAAAAAAUCAUGCAGUAUGAUGUGCAAAGCAGAGGGGGAGGAAAGAAAGUAGUGGGUGAGAAAGACCCACCCAAGGACUGCAGCCAGCUUCCCCAGGAAGAUUCAUGACCACGCUUCAAUCCUGUCCUGUGAUUCUUUCCAAGGGAUUUUACUAUAAAUCACUAAAAGCAACCGCUGCUGUUACCAGAGCUAUCUUUGCCUCAAAAAGAAGAAAAUUCAGGACAUGCAAUAUAAUCCUCUCGCUAUCUAAGAGAGAAACCAGCCCAUUUGUCAUAAGAACUGAAAACACCAGCUAUAUAGUAUAUUAAACAUUAGCGUUUCAUCUUUCAUAAAAGGGGGGGCACGCAUAGGAUGUGAUUGGAUGCAACCAUGAUAAAGGGACUUAAAUUGGAUUGACUAACUAUAACCUACAAAAACCAUUGUAGUACAAAUCCUUUUCAGUAAAAGGUAAGAAAAUUCUAUCAACACUUUUUUUUAACCACUCUGAGCUAUUCACAACAAAUAGAUCCUUACUCUUAGCAGAUGUAUAAGCAUUUAUGUAAUGCAGGGGUUUCAUAACUUGAAGAGUGUCAUCAAAGUCAGAGCUGAUACAGUGUUCCUCCCUUUGACUUGAAUGCCUUCUUCUUCCCUAUAUAGGGUGAUUAUUGCUUCACAGUGUCCCCGGUAUGAAAAGACUUUGAAAGGUCAUUUGCCUUGCAUCCCAACUAGCUGCAUUAGCAUUACCAAGGAGAGGCUGGUUAGAAAUGCACAGUCUUGGGGUCCACCCCAGUCUUACUGGCUCAGCUUCUGCAUUUCGACAGGAUCCCCAGGUGAUUCAUAGGCGUAGUGAAGGUGAAACUGUGCCACCCUAAGCCAUCCUGCUGCCUCUGAGCAAAGCGUGCACAUCGGAAUGGAUAGACUGGUCUGCUUCAGCCAAUUUCAGGUCCUUUAUAGUUUAUCCUGUGUGAGUCAUUGAGAGGAAAGAGGAAAUGCACUCAUUUAAGGAGGUCUUGCUUAGCCUAACAAAGCUAGCAACUUCUUCAAUACAUUCAGGUUCCUAUUCUUGGAAGAACUGCUGCUCUGUGUCCUGUUGCUUGGUCAUGUUGACUCUUUACGACCCUUUGGACUGUAGCCCACCAGGCUCCUCUGUCCAUGGGAUUUUUCAGGCAAGAAUACUGGAGCGGGUUGCCAUAUCAUUCUCCAAGGAUCUUCCUGACUCAGAGAUCGAACCCGAGUCUCCUGUGUUUUCUGCAUUGCAGGCGGUUUCUUUACCGCUGAACCAUUUGGGAAGCCCUGCAGGUUGGGUCAAAGGAAAGAGAAGCAGAAAGUGGAGUAGGUUCAAAUACCAAACUCUAAUAAAGUAAGGGUAGCACAGAAGCUGAGACUGUGAGGGAUGGGGAGAACAGUUUCACCAAAUUACCAGUUCCAAAAUUGUCUCUGCACUGUGGGUGAUUUAUAGCCCUGGAAGCUUAAAGGCUUGAGUCUCUUGCUGUAUUUUAUUUCAGAUUAGGAAUUUUUAUCUAGUACUUUCCUGCAGUUUAAAAUGAAGGCCCUGGAACUACAAAAAUGAAUUUAUCUGGUGGGCUGUGUUCAUUUUGUAGUUAUCCUGUAGGUUUCAGAUUUGUUACAGAACUGGAACUGGACAAUAGAAAAACUCUGUUGGUUAAUGGCAGCCAACUUCUAAACCAAAACUGAAGGACAUAGGAUAAUUAUGUAUAUGUUUCAGUGUCCUCAAAUUUAGCUGCACAUUAGAGUCCCCUAGAUAAAAGGUUUUUACACAGCUUUCUUGAGGUAUAACUGACAUAUAAUAAGCUGUAUAUAUUUUAGGUGUACAGUAGGAAGAAUUUUGAUAUGUUAUACAUCUGUGAAACUAUCACCAUGAUCAAGCUAAUCACCCCUAAAGUUUCCUUGUGCCCCUUGGCAACUCCUCCACCCAUUCUGCGACAACUAAUUGCUUUCUGCCACCAUAGGUUAGUUUCCAUUUUCUAGAAUUUUAAUUUAAUGGAACUAUACUCUUUUUUUUUUUUUUUUGAGGGGGGAGACCUGAUUUCUCUUACUCAACAUAAUUAUUCUGAGAUUCAUCCACAUUGUUGCCUAUAUUACUACUAGUUUGUCCUUUUUAUUGCUGAGUAAUACUCCAUUGUAUGAAUAUACCACAAUUUAUCUUAACCAUUUACCAGUGAAAGACAUUUGGGUUGUUUCCAGUUUUAAACAACUAUGAAUAGCACUGCUAUAAACCUCCAUGAACAAGUAUGAGCAUAUGAGUUUUCAUUUCUCUAGGUAAAUACCUAAAAGUGGGUAUGGUAAGUAUACAUUUAACUCUAAAAGAAACUGCCAAAUUGUUACCCAAAGUGACUGUACAAUACCAUUUUGCUUGCUUACCAGAAAUGUAUGAGUUCCAGUUGCUCCACAUCCUCUCUAGGAAUUGGAUUGGUAUUGUCAGUAUUUCUAACUUUAGCUGUUUGAAUAGAUGUAUAAUUGUAUCUCCAUCGUGGUCUUAGUUUACAUGUUCCUAGUGACUGCUGUGGAGAAGGAAACGGCAACCCACUCCAGUGUUCUUGCCUGGAGAAUCCCAGGGACGGUGGAGCCUGGUGGGCUGCUGUCUCUGGGGUCGCACAGAGUCGGACACGACUGAAGCGACUUAGCAGCAGCAGCAGCAGCAGCAGCAGCAGCAGUGACUGCUGACGUUGAGAAUCUUUUCAUGUGUAUGUUUGCCAUCCUUAUAUCUUUUUUGGUGAGAAUCUUUGAAGUCUUUUGCUUAUUUUUUAAUUGGGUUUUGUUUUCUUAAUUGUUGAGUUUUAAGAGUUCUUUAUGUAUUCUGAAUAUAAGUCCUUUGUCAGAUAUAUGAUUGAUAAAUACUGUCUCUCAAAGGGCAGAAGUUCUUAAUUUUGAUAAGGUUUAAUUUAUAUUUUCUUUAAUGGGUUGUACUUUUGGUGGUAUAACUGACCAAAGAUCACAAAGAUUUUCUUCUAGGUUAUUUUUCUAGACAUUUUAUAAUUUUAGGUUUUAUAUUUAGGUCUAUAAUCCAUUUGGAGUUAGUUUUUAUGUAUGAUGCAAGAUAUGGAAUGAUGUUUACUUUUUGCAUAGGGAUAUUCACUAUUUAUUGAAAUGACUGACCUUUCUCUAUUGAAUUGCCUUUGUACCUUUGUGCAAAAGCCAAUUGACCAUAUAUUUGUGGGUCUUUUCGAAAGUCUCCAUUCUGUUCCACUGAUCUAUCUUUAUACCAAUAUCACAUAGCCUUGAUUACUAUAGCUUUAUUAUUAGUCUUGAAAUCCAACUGUAUUCUUUCUCUAAAUAAGAAGUUUAGAAUUAACUUAAAUUUUACAAUAUUUGUCAACUUCUGGGUUUAAAAAGUCUAAUGGGAUUUUGAUUGGGAUUUGAUUUUAUCAAUCUAUUUGGGAAGAACUUACAGCUUAACAAUUUUAAAUAUCCCAAUCCAAGAACACAGUAUAUCUCUCAUAAGUGUGAUCAUUUUUUAAUCUCUUUUCAGCAAUGUAUUUUCAGUGUACAGGUCUUAUACUGCAUUUUUGAGAUUUAGUUUUAAGUAGUUGAUACUGUUAUGCCCUUGUAAAUGUUUAUGUAAGUUCAGUUUCCAACUGUUUGUUGUAACUAUUUAGAAAUACAGUUGAUUUUUUAAAAUAUUGAUCUUAUGUCCUGCAGCCUCACUAAACUCAUUUAUUAGUCUUAUAGCUUUUUUAGGUUCCAUAGAAUUUUCCACAUAGAUAUUAUGUUUUCGAGAGUAAAGACAGCUUUACUUCUUCUUGUCUAGAGUGGCUUCCUUUUAUAUAUUUUUUCUUGCCUUAUUGUACUUGCUAGAAGCUGUCUAGAGUGGCUUCCUUUUAUAUAUUUUUUCUUGCCUUAUUGUACUUGUUAGAAGCAGUAAAUUGCUAAAUAGAAAUAGUGACAGUGGACAGCCUUGCCUGUACUUGGUCUUAGAGGAAAGAGAGCCAGUCUUUUCCAUUAAGUGUGAUGUUAUCAUUAGGGUUUUCAUAGAUGCCCUUUCGCAAGUUGAGAAGUUCCCUACUUUGCUGAGAGUUGCUUUUUUAAAAAAUCAGAAAUGGAUCUUGAAUUUUGUCAAGUCUGCAUCUAUUGAGCUAUUCUUAUGGUUUUUCUUUUAAGCCUGUUAACAUGGUGAAUUACACUGAUUUUCAAAUAUCAAACUAACCUUGAAAUCUUGAGGUAAAUCCAUUUGUUUACUAUUUAUUAUCAUAUAUAUAUAUAUAUGUAUAUAUAUAUAGUUAGAUUCCAUUUGCUAAAACUUACUUAAGAAUUUUUACAUCUAUACUCAUGAGAUAUCAGUCUCUGCUUUUCUUUUAUUGUAAUGUUUUUGUCUAGUUUUGGUAUCAGAGUAAUUCUAAUCUUAUAGAAUGAGUUGGGAUAUGUUCCAUCCCCAUCCCCUUCAAGUUACUUGAAGUGUUUGUAUAUAGAAUUAAUAUUAUUUCUUCCUUAAAUAUUGGAUAGAAUUCAUCUUGGACUAAAAUUUUCUUUGUGGGAAGAUUUUUAACCACUAACUCAAUUUAUUUAACAGAUGUAGAGCUAUACUGGUUAUCUAUUUUUGUUUGUUUGUUUGAAUAAUAAAUUCUAUCCAAAAAAUUUUAUAUUUCCUCUAAGUUGGUCAUAUUAUUGGCACAAAGCUAUUCUUGAUAUUAUCUUAUAGUAAUUUUAAUAUCUGUAGAAUACAUAGUGAUAUCACCUCUCUCAAUCCUGAUAUUAGUAAUUUGUGUCUUCUUUCUCUUUUUUUCCUGAUCAGUCUGGCUAGAGGUCUAUCAAUUUUACUAAUCUUCUCAAACAACCAGCUUUUAAUUUCAUGUAUUUUUCUCCAUUGUUUUUGUUUUCUGUUUCACUAAUAUCUUCUCUAAUCUUGAUAAUUUACAUUUUCCUGCUUAGUUGAGGUUUAAUUUGCUCUUUUUCUAGUUGCUUAUGGUGGUAUCUAAAGUCAUUGGUUUAAGGCCUUUCUUCUUCUGUACUAUGUUUAGUGGUAUAACUUGCCUAUAAAUAUGUUUUGGCUAAACUUCAGAAAUUUUGAUAUACUGUGUUUUCAUUUAGUUCCAGAUUAUUUCUUAAUUGCCCUUUUGAUUUCUUCUUUGACCUGUAGGUUAUGUAGAAGUGUGCAAAUUCAUUCCCAAACAAUUGGCUACUUUCCAGAUAUCUUUCUGUUAUUAACAUUUAGCUUAAUUCCUCUGUAACAAAAAAACAUUCUUCUGAUUUGGAUAUUUUAAAAUUUCUUAAGACUUAUUUUGUAGUUAGACUAUGGUCUAUCUUGGAAAUUUUUCUGUGUGCUCUUGAAAAGAAUAAGUACGCUGUUAAGUGGAAUGUUCUUAAAAAUGUUAAGUUAAAUUAGUUGAUAGCAUUGCUCAAGUCCUCUGUAUCCUUACUGAUUUUCUAUUGUACAUGUUCCAUCAAUUAGUAAGAGAAAGGUUUUGAAAUCUUCAACUAUAAUUAUAGAUUUGUUUUUUUCUCUUUUACAGUUCUAAAUAUCCCACCACCAAAGCCACACAUGAUAAAAAUCAAUUCAGAACCUCUGGGGGCGUGACCCCAGCCAUCUUUAUGUUUUUAACUCCCCAGAGUGAUUUGGGCUUCCCUGGUGGCUCAAAUGGUAAAGCGUCUGCCUGGAAUGCAGGAGACCUGGAUUUGAUCCCUGGGUCUGGAAGAUUCCCUCGAGAAGGAAAUGGCAACCCGCUCCAGUACUCUUGCCUGGAAAACUCCAUGGAUGAAGGAGCCUGUCUCUGCACCUCAUCUACAUACCGGCACUCAGGAGAUGGAAGCAGAGGAGCAGCACUAGACUGACCUGCCCGAAGAAAUGUUCGACUGCACAAGCAUAGCCUUGGGGGGAACUCAGAAGUUUUCACCACCUGGAGCUUUCCCAUGGACAGAGGAGCCUAGCAAGCUACAGCCCAUGGGGUUGAAGAGUCACGACUGAGUGACUACACAACAGCUUUCAUGAAGGCUUCAUGUGUGGCUCUCCCAGGAGCUCUGACAGCCUACAGGAAAAGCCACCCACCCCCAUCUCGGAGGCCAACCCUUCUGCGUGGUGGCUAGCAGUGACAAAACCAAGAUGAAUCACCAUAUGUCAGGAUCCAUAAAUUGUGAAAAGUCUAAGCAGCAGGUCUGGGAUGAGAGAUCAAGGCCAAAGGUAAAUAUUUCUGACAUAGGCUUUUGUUUUCCGAUGGUGGCAGCUUGGAUUUCCUUCCUGUUGGUGAGAAAAGGAUGGAGGGGUUAGGCGGGGCUGAUCCAGCUGCAGAAGGAAAGGCUGCUAGAGCGGGAGGGGACUGCACUUCUCACUCCCAGGGAGACUUCCCACAGCUCCCCCGCUUCUCCUUGCUGAGGCUGGAGGUAGGGGGCACCCAGGGAGAAGUCUCUACCUCCUUCUCUUAGGGAAGUUCACCCUGGUUGUGCUGACCUUACUGGCCUAAGGGCCUUGCUUCUGGGUCAGAGGACACCAGCCUCAGUGCUGAAAUGUGUCUCCUGGACUUAUUUCUAAUCCUCUGGCAGGUCAGUGUUGACUCACGCUCUCCCUCCACAUGGGAUUAGAGGAAGGGGGCUUAGGGUCAUUUUUGGCUACUGAGCAUCUGAACCCCCUUCCCAUGUUUGGGAUGCUAUCACUUCAUGAAUUUCAGCGCCCUAAAAAAGACUGUUCUAGUCUUCUAGAAGUCUCUAGAAAAGUCUAGUCCACUUUGCAGCUAGGACGUGGACAUACAACCAAGACUUGGCCAAUCAGGUGCUCUUGCUCCGGAAGGAAUCAGAAGUUAUUAGCAUCAACAAAGUGGGACAUUGGAGAAUCCUUUCUGGGGGAGGCUGCAGGGUGACAAAAAUAUCCAGGCUCCCACUGCCCAUGGUGGUAUCAAGUGUUGAGGGCUGAAGACAGUGAUGGUGGAAGCCGUGGCACAGCACUCAGCAGUGGCAGCAGAGGUACCCUCAUCUCACUCUUGCUAGGCUGUGAUUGUACCUGUGGCCUCAGAUAUGAUCCUGAGUUCUCAGUUCUUAUGUUUUCUGAUCCUGUUUUUCAGCCUUCUCAGGGAUUAUUCGAUAGCUUUUUGAGAAAUUCCUUUUCUUUAAUCUGUCAGAGUUAGUUUCUGUUGCUUGCAGCUGAAAACCCUGAUUCUGCCCAGCUACAACUGGUUUCAGUCAAUCAUUUGCAGAUGCUCCUUUUUUUUUUUUCUUUCCUGCUUGCAUUCUUCAAGCCUCUGUCCUCCUGGCAAUUCCACAAGUAAUCCAGAAAAGGAGGAACGAGCAUGCAGAGAAUUUGACCACAGCUGGGAAGUGAGCCAAGAGAACUCUGAAGAACUUGAGUAUUAGCUCCUUCACUUUGUUAGGUGGGGUGGAUGUGGGGCUGUGGGAUGUUCCUCUUAUGUUGUUCUUCUCAUCUCUAAUUUGGUUAUACAGUGAUUCCCUAUGGCACUUACAGAGUCCAUGAGGGCAUGGACUGAGUCGCCUUGUUUUCCCCAGUAUCCAGGCCAUACAGGAUGCUCAGUAAAUAGUAGUAAAUCGUGACAGAGAAAGUUUGAGAAAGAAUUCAGGGGAAAGAAGGUACAUACAUCCUUAGUGUCUCUGUAAAAAAAGAACUGUCUCAACUCUGUGGGCUCGUGAGUCGAGCCAACACUGCAGGAAUUUGGUGGUGUUGAUUGAAGAGCAGGAACCUGGAGCUUUAGCCAUCAGACUGUCAAAGAUGGAGACACACUCCCAGGCAGGCAGAGCCUAACCUGGGUCUAGUCCAGGGAGAAUGUCAGUCCAUUCUUUCUUGGAAGGGAACCCCAACAGUGCCUGCAAGUUCAACUGAGAUGGCUUUCCAGAAAGCAUUUUGAAUCAAUUUCAAAUGCAUUGACAGUACUUGGUUGAAACCCCAUACAGAGGUUGAGGGUGGGUGGAGUUAGUUUGAAUCUCGAAGACCAAGAGCAGGUUACCUUAACCAUAAAAGAGCCUCAGUGCAUCUAUUGUAUGGGCUUCCCAGGUGGUACAGUUUAGGUGAAGAAUCUACCUGCUGAUGCAGGAGACUCAGGUUACAUCCCUGGGUUGGAAAGGAUCCCUGGAGAAGGAAUGGCAACCCACUCCAGUAUUCUUGCCUGGAAAAUUCCAUAGGGUUGUAAAGAGUUGGACACAAGUGAGCAUACACACACGCACACACGCAUCUUGUUUUGAGUAACAUUUAUUCAGAUUUGAGUCCACAAGGAAGUGUUUGCUACAAACUGACUCUGGUUCUAAUUUUUGUUUGUGGGAUUAACCAAGGAAACAUUUACCUUAGGCAGCUCUCUUAACUAACCUAAGUUUUCAUUUCUUGAUUUUAAAAUCUCUAGUUGUAGAGAGUUGGGGCUACCUUGCUCACUAAUUUCCUAGCGAAAAUUCGAUGUUUCUGUUAAGAAUCAUGUGUUGUUUUCCAAAUACCCUUGCAUCCAAGUACAAAGCUGGACCCAGGAGGCACAGACAGCCCAUGGUGUGGCCAUGUUCUGAAAAGACUAGGCUGCUGCUGCUGCUGCUAAGUCGCUUCAGUCGUGUCCGACUCUGUGCGACCCCAAAGACGGCAGCUCACCAGGCUCCCCCAUCCCUGGGAUUCUCCAGGCAAGAACACUGGAGUGGGUUGCCAUUUCCUUCUCCAAUGCAUGAAAGUAAAAAGUGAAAGUGAAGUCGCUCAGUCGUGUCCUACUCGUAGCGACCCCAUGGACUGCAGCCUACCAGGCUCCUCCAUCCAUGGGAUUUUCCAGGCAAGAGUACUGGAGUAGGGUGCCAUCACCUUCUCCGAAGACUAGGCUAGACCCUUCUAAGACCCUUCUCAAGCCAGGACCUAAGGCUAGCAGUGAGAACGUUAGAAGGGGGAAAACACUGUAACUAGGAUCUGUAACCAGUUACAGGUCCUUCUGAACUGUUUGUGGUGCUUAGUUCGGCUAGUGAAGCUGAAUUUCCAAGAUAUCUACUUCUAGCCUAUGCUUGUCCCUUGGACUGCAAGGAGAUCCAACCAGACCAUCCUACAGGAAAUCAGUCCUGAAUAUUCACUGGAAGGACUGAUGCUGAAGCUGAAACGCCAAUAUUUUGGCCACCUGAUGCAAAGAACUGACUCAUUUGAAAAGACCCUGAUGCUGGGAAAGAUUGAGGGUGGGAGGAGAAGGGGACAACAGAGGAUGAGGUGGUUGGAUGGCAUCACCAACUCGAUGGACUUGAGUUUGAGUAGGCUCCAGGAGUUGGUGAUAGACAGAGAGACCUGGUAUGCUGCAGUCCGUGGGGUCGCAAAGAGUUGAACACGACUGAGAGAUUGAACUAAGCCUAUGCUUAUCUUUAAAUUCACAUCGAACAGUAGAAGAUCAUUAAAGCUGCUCAUACAUCCAAUACUGUCUGGGGUUAGUGAAGGAGAGAAUUGUGAAACAUCAUGUGUGUGUGUUAGUCGCUCAGUUGUGUCUGACUCUUUGCGACCCCAUGGACUGUAGCCUGCCAGGCUCCUCCAUCCAUGGGCUUUUCCAGGCAAGAAUACUGGAGUGGAUUGCCAUUUCCUUCUCCAGGGAUCUUCCAGACCCAGGGAUUGAACCCAGGUCUCCUGCAUUGCCGUCUGACUCGUCUUACACAUGCACGUAUAUUUCAAACCUGUGCUGUGCAUCUUGGUUUCAGCCCGUGAAAUUCUGUGGUGACUGUUUUUGCUCCGAGAAGGUGCUGCGCCUCUUUCCGUCCUGGGCUUAGAAUGAUAAGCAGAUUAGAAGGUCAUGAGUGACAGCGGCCAGGAUGGUCCUCUUCCUCCGCUUCCUCUCUUGGGAGAGGCCGGAGGACUCUGGAGAAAACAGAGAUGGGAAGGAAAACAAGUCAAUCCCAGCGUGGGGAGCAGGGAGGGGAGAGAAUGGUGACAGACUGUGGGAGCUGCCAGCAAACAUCUGAUUCCCUGCAUUGCUCGGAGGAGAGGAGGCAAGUCUUCCCAAAUCCGGGCGCCCCAACACGAUUGCGAAAGCCACGCCCAUCGGCCCACAGACGGCCAACACUGCUGCAGAACCAGUGAGACACCUUGGGAAACCGCCCGAGUUUCUGGAGACAUCUCUGUAAAAGCUGCCUUUCGCCCUGGUGGAUGCUGGAAUCCCAGCACUGGGUGACCCAGAGCCGCCUUUUGUUCACGGCAAAGUUAAUUUCAGAAAUGUCGUUCUCGGAUGGAUGCGGUCCUGGGGCGAAGAGUCAAUGCCUUCUCCCACCGGCGGCCGCGGGGCUGGCUGAGCACGAGCGCAGAGGCACUCCUCGAGCUUUGAAGUCAACAGAGGUAGGCAGGGCAGGCCACGGUGGAAAACUGUGAAGUCAGCAGAGUUAUCGCGGGCACUCCUCCCUUCCCCCUUGCUUCCCCUUUCUCCACCCAUUUCCCCCCUCUCAGCUUGCAGCUUCUCAUUUCCCAGGGGAUCGUGCAACAGAAGAAAAGCCGUCCAGAGAUACGAGGGGCCAGCCCACGGCUCCAGCUAUCGAAGUAUGCUCCCCCCCCCAGCCCCCACCAAGUCUAAAACAAACACAGGAACGCAUUCCAUACAUUUCCAAAGACUAGAGAGCGCACACAGAAAUCCUGGCCUUUGUGCCUUCUCCCUUAAACCCCACGAGUUUGGGGCCUCAAGUUUGAAGCCGGCUUCCUGCCUCCCCUGGGUUUUUUGAAAGAUUCAAAAGUGCCUCAGACCAAGACAGCUGCUUGGUUGAUGGCUCACAUUGAAACCACAAAUUAUAAAAUGAUAAAUCGCUGCUCAAAGCUCUUCCAGGAAAGACUAUGUUGUCAAGAUUAAGUUACAACCUCAUGGACCUAUGAGUGAGUCGAGCUGCUGACUAACUCUCACACUUCUUUUCCUGCCCAAGAUGUUUUUGCUUCGUGAACUUUCACUGUUUCUGAAUACUUGAAACAAAUGACUGAAGGCAGAAAAAACAUCAGGGGACUUCUUAACCCAUGGAGCUUUUUACAGGCUUUAUUAUGUAACGGCUGCUUUCGUUUUGUGAGACCCAAAGGAAGUUGAAGAAAUCUCUUUCUUCUUGAGCACUUAACUGCCAGCGAUCUGUGAGAAAUGGCUUCGUGUGGGCAGCUCCACUCACUUGAAACUCUAGUUGGAACGUGUAGUGUGUGCUAAAUCAAAGCUGGUUUUAAGGAAUUUGGGUCUUAAAGUAUCUGUUCAGUGAUUUGGGCAGGAUUGCAACAUGAAUUACUGUAUUUGGUUCCCAUGAAAUAAAUUCUUUGGACUACUCUUAAAGGGUCUGGUCUAGUGAUCGAGUGUGACAAAUAAUUAGGCCACAUGCAUUCUCUCAUGUAAUGAUGCUUCUCUCUGCCAGGGUUUUGGCAGGCAGAAGGAGGUAAGAUGAAAUGCUUGUUUGACACCUAUAUAUUGCCUUGCUGAGGGGUCUGGCACACUGACCUCAUUGAGAUCACCUGGGGCUGGAGGAAGACCAUCAUCUAUCCAUUAUGUGUCUCCAGCACAGGGCCUUGGUUACACAACUGUGAUCCGGUUUCUCCAAGGCCACUCAAGUCUUGAGGACCAUCAGACUGUUGUUUCUGAUUUUGCACCAUCAAAAGUAAUACCAUGAGGGCAUUUCUUGGUAGUUAACUGUGGUCAUGCAACUAAUUCCGGACUGUGGAGUGUGGAUGAACGUGAGGUUCAUACUUCCAUGUCUGGACCAUAAAUUUUCCUGAUUGACUCUCCCUGUUCUUCCACCACUACCCCUAUUUGGUGGCUGAAAAGAGUGGACUUAACAUAGAAGAAACUUGGAUCCUUGAAUGGCUUCAUGGAGCAGAGUCCCUGAUGAUAUGUACUGGAUAGUGAUAAGUAAACAAAAAAUAUUAUUUUAAGCCAACUGAAAUUUUGGAAUUGUUUUUAAUAGCAGUCAGCCUAUCUUGACUAAUACAGAAGAUAAAACUUGAAGUUGCAUGCUGCUAUAAGGAAAAAAAAAAUCUAAAAUAUAUGAUUUUGAAUUGGUAGCUGGGUAGGGAUGGUGUGAAAACAGAUAUCAGAGGGCAGAAUACUUGAGAGUUUGUAAUGUCAUCACAAAAGAUUUGCUACAACUGCUGCUUGUGACAACUUAAAAGGUGGCACAUUACUUGCCUAGUCAACCUAUAUAGCUCUACAAGAAGUUUUUGGAAAGAGAGUAGGUAGUAGGUAUUGUCUACUAUUUGCUGACUUUAGUAAAGCAUUAGAACAAACAGAAAAGCUCAAGCAAGAACCGGCCAUUUUUUAAGCAGGAAAGUACUCUUGCCUGGAAAAUCCCAUGGAUGGAGGAGCCUGGUGGGCUACAGUCCGUGGGGUCGCUAAGAGUCAGACACAACUGAGUGACUUCACUUUCACUUUUCACUUUCAUGCAUUGGAGAAGGAAAUGGCAACCCACUCCAGUGUUCUUGCCUGGAGAAUCCCAGGGACAGGGGAGCCUGGUGAGCUGCCGUCUAUGGGGUUGCACAGAGUCGGACACGACUGAAGCAACUUAGCAGCAGCAGCAGCAAAGGAGUUAGAAGAAGUCCAGAAAUUUGGGGGAUGAAAGAUUAUAAAGCUGACUACUUCUUGACACUAAAAUAGGAAACAAAAUAUUAAAAACCUGUGAGUAACAAAGGCCCAGUUAGACCCAGACUUCAAUGGCAAAGAUCUGAUUAAGAGUGUGGUCUUCCCAUCCGAGUCUAAUGGCCUGAAGAUAGCCCCCAUUAAACAGAGAGAGGAACCAAGGAAGGAAAACAAAGACAGAAUCAUGCUUGAAAAUUAUGUAUAGGAAAGAACUUUGGGUGUGGUUACUGGCACACGUUGCUGACUGGAAGCAAACAGAUCAAAAGCCUACCAAGGUUUUGAGGGAAUCAUGUUCUCAAAGAAAUCCUUUGAUUAUUUGAGUUGAAAGUAACCUUUGGAUUUCAUACUAGAACCAGUAGGAAGUAAGCUGAGCAGACUCUAAGGAAGGUGUAUUCCCCAACACCCUUUUUCUGUAGAGUAGCAAAGCCAGGACCCGUGGAGUAGAUAAGGGAAUUCCUUGGAAAGAUGAGUAAGAUUUAAACAAAGAACUUUACUUACCCUUCAUAGUAACUAUCCCAGCAGAAUUCUGGAAUUGCUGUGGAUAAGUGAACUAUAAGUGAUUACUGUAUUUCUCCUAUUUGUUCUUUUUCUGAAUAAGCAUUUAUUUCAUUUUUCUGUCCUUUUUGUUUGCUUUUAAUAAACUUCUGGUUGACUUUACUAAUUAGGAUGAGCAUGAAUUUCUUUUGUAAAAAUGUAAGUAACUAAAACAGAAGCAGGGGAAUUCCCUGCUGGUUCAGUGGUUAGGGCUCUGCACUCUCACUGCCAAGGGUUUGGGUUCAGUCCCUCCCUGGUAGGGGAGCAACAACAACAGAACAAAAAGCAGAGACAGAUUUAUCAAGAAAUUAAUGAAACCUAAGCUCUAAGGGUCUCUGCCAAGGCUCCACUGCACCCUCCCCUUCAUCACAUUUCCCUUCAUGUCAGUUUGUGUUGGAGUGACCCUGGAUAUUCUGGGUAUCUGGCUAAGGGAAAGCUGAAUUGAGG
ensembl:lncRNA